rnacentral:tRNA from 1 species
AAAGUUAUAGGUUAAGAUAAACCAUAGGCCUUCAAAGCCUGAAAUGAGAGUAGGAAUCUAACUUUG